UACGGAGGGUGCGAGCGUUAAUCGGAAUUACUGGGCGUAAAGCGUGCGCAGGCGGUUUUGUAAGCCAGGUGUGAAAUCCCCGGGCUCAACCUGGGAAUGGCAUUUGGGACUGCAAGGCUGGAGUGCGGCAGAGGAGACUGGAAUUCCUGGUGUAGCAGUGAAAUGCGUAGAUAUCAGGAGGAAUACCGAUGGCGAAGGCAGGUCUCUGGGCUGACACUGACGCUCAUGCACGAAAGCGUGGGGAGCAAACAGG
rnacentral:rRNA from 1 species